GGCUAUUAUAGAAAAGUUUUUGAUCCACUGGGAGACAAAACCCUAAAGACAGGUGUAAAACUAAACACUCUUUUGGGACCCAGUAUUCAUUGUUCAGUAUGAGUUUUGAUACUUAUAAGAAGGAAUAGA